UACGGGGGGGGUAAGCGUUGUUCGGAAUUACUGGGCGUAAAGGGCUCGUAGGUGGCCAACUAAGUCAGACGUGAAAUCCCCAGGCUUAACCUGGGAACUGCGUCUGAUACUGGAUGGCUUGAAUUCGGGAGAGGGAUGCAGAAUUCCAGGUGUAGCGGUGAAAUGCGUAGAUAUCUGGAGGAAUACCGGUGGCGAAGGCGGCAUCCUGGACCGAGAUUGACACUGAUGAGCGAAAGCUAGGGGAGCAAACGGG
rnacentral:rRNA from 1 species